rnacentral:rRNA from 1 species
GAUCCUGGCUCAGGAUGAACGCUGGCGGCGUGCCUAAUACAUGCAAGUCGAGCGGAAAGGCCUCUUCGGAGGUACUCGAGCGGCGGACGGCAGAGUAACGCGUAGGAACAUACCCCAAACUGAGGGAUAACUGCCCGAAAGGGUGGCUAAUACCGCAUGUGAUCUUCGGAUUAAAGCUUCGGCGGUUUGGGAAUGGCCUGCGUUCGAUUAGCUAGUUGGUGAGGUAAAGGCUCACCAAGGCGACGAUCGAUAACUGGUCUGAGAGGAUGAUCAGUCUGACUGGAACUGAGACACGGUCCAGACUCCUACGGGAGGCAGCAGUAGGGAAUUUUCCACAAUGGGCGAAAGCCUGAUGGAGCAACGCCGCGUGCAGGAUGAAGGCCCUUGGGUCGUAAACUGCUUUUAUGUGAGAAGAAUAUGACGGUAACACAUGAAUAAGGGUCGGCUAACUACGUG